rnacentral:rRNA from 1 species
UACGUAGGGUGCAAGCGUUGUCCGGAAUUAUUGGGCGUAAAGAGCUCGUAGGCGGUUUGUCGCGUCUGCUGUGAAAACUCGGGGCUUAACCCUGGGCCUGCAGUGGGUACGGGCAGACUAGAGUGCGGUAGGGGAGACUGGAAUUCCUGGUGUAGCGGUGAAAUGCGCAGAUAUUGGGAAGAACACCAGUGGCGAAGGCGGUUCUCUGGGACGGUACGUGACGCUGAGACGCGAAAGCGUGGGGAGCGAACGAGG